rnacentral:lncRNA from 1 species
CCUUGCUGCAGCACUGCCAUUUGUUGAGGAAGCUCAGCUGUCCCCUCUCCAGGACACCGGGACUCUUACCAGAGACCAUACUCAGGGAGCGUCCAUGCAGCACCCCACCCUGCGACAGGAGCGAUUGACUCUUCCACAGUGAAUGUAUCCAGAGCCUCUGUUGUCUUAGCUGUGCUUGAAAUGCAAAUUCCCAGGUGUCCUGUGUGCAAGCACAUUGGGAGGGUGCUGCAUGACCCCCCAGCUGCUUGCCAACCACCAGGGCACUGACUGUGAAGGCCAGGCAGUGUUACAGUGCCGCAGGUGCUGUGUCUCCCCCAUGCACACUGAACUCUGCCCUCAGUGCAGGGGCUGGGGGUCUGAACAGAACAGCGUCGCUUCUCUGAGACAGAGUGGCCAGCGGGCUGUCCUUCACCGUGCAUGCAGUCCACAGCCAGCACAGGCCCCACCAGGCCCAGCCAGGCUGCCCGACCUCAGGCCUAGCCUCUUCCGUCCGGCGCUCUGACAGGCCUGCCCCAGGCGACUGGGUGAGCUGUCUCAGCCAGCAGCCCCGCUGCCUUAGCCGUGAUCUGUCCUUGCCGCAGUGGCCCAGUUGGUGGCCAGGGGACCGUUGGAAAAUGCUGGCUCACGGUGAUCGGAUGGCCCUGGGGACAGCAGGCCAGUUCUGGAAGUGUAUGAGGCACACCCUGAACCAGCCACAAAGUGAAGGCUCCUGGUGACACUGACUCUCUUACGCCCUGCACCUGCUGAGAGCCUCUCUGGAUCCGAAGAGGCUGCCAGGCUCAGAGCUCUGCCAAUGCGACCUUUAGAAUGAGCUGGACCUGCAGCGAGUCGUCUUUGCACCAGCAGACACUAUGUUUCCAGAAUGCUGCUGGCCUGCCCUCGAGGAGGAACUUUCCCUCCAUGACAGCACAGGCGCGUGUGUCAGGGGCUGCUCUGGGUGUGCUUGGGUGUGUGGGGCAUGCAUGCACCCGGGCACUGUGAGUGUUUGGAAACACACCUGAGACAGUCCGUCUGCAGGAGACAAGAGCUAGUGGAUCAGAAUGCACAAAAUACGCUCACAAAUUCACAACCCACAUGAGUGACUUAGGAAGAAGACCUAGGACGGUCACGGGUCUUCUGAAGCUGAUGUUUUUAACUCUCACUGUGCAGCCCAACUUGCUGUUUUACACAACUGAAAGCUCUGAACGGUUUAGGGUCUUCACUAAUAUGAGUUCUGAUUCCCAGUUGUCUGGGAUCUGGGCGGCUUCCGGAAGCCCCUGCGCCCAUGGAGCCCUGUCCCUCUCAGAGACAUGUGCUCGCAAACCUCCUGUCCUCGCUGUGGAGCCAGUGCGGGGUCCUCCAGCCUCUGCGCUCAGUCACACGACUCCUCUGGGAUGCCUCGUGGGUCUGUGCUGGUUGUCCGCCCUCAACUCUUUCUUUGCUUUCAGGGAGGGGUGGCUAGGCUUGAGAACUUUGGGGAAUCUGCAGUAAAGGCUGCAUCAGUCCCACUGGGUACCCUAGAGCAGCUCCCACAAAGCAGAACCCAAAAUGUUUUCUUAACAGUUUAAAAAUCUGGCAAAACCAGCAAAUUGGCAUUACAUGUUUACACUUUGCUGGAUAACUGCUAGAGUCCCCAAAUACCAAGAUUUCUACUGCCAGAAAACCUAAAAUACAAUGGCCCUCUCACAGACACCCUACGCUAAUGUGUGGGCUCCCUCUGCUGGGCCUCGGGCCUGUGGCUGUGGAGAGGCAACCGCCCAGGGCGACAGAUCCUGGGGAUGAAGUGGGGGCAACUCAGACCCACAGUGAGACCCCGUGUCACAGAGAGGGCCUGCAAUUGCUGGAGUUAUAUUCCUGUCAGUGCAAGAAAAUGGGGAUUUUUAUUUUAAGUGGGAGAUAGCAAGUUUUUGUUUGUCUCCGUUUCUGUUCCCAAAGGAGGCCCAGCGCUCUUUGGAGAGGGGCACAUGUGGUGGGGAGCCUGUUGCUAGGGUAACCAUGUCCUCUGUCUGAAGAUGUCUAGGCCGGUUGGUUCCUUUGGAGCAGUUGAUCAGAUGGAAGGAAACAGGGGAAAUGCAAAUUACGAUCAUGUCACUUCAGAAACAGCACAGUGUGGUCACCCUGUGGCUCCAAAGAGGUCCCACUUCCGUAGUGGGUUCCUCUCCUCACUGCUACUACUCUGGUCCCCCCAGAUGACCAAGUGCUGGUCGGUGCUCAGCAUCUCAUCCUCUACCUUGCAGGCUCGCUUCGUUUGUUGAACUUGGAAGGAGAUGUGAGGACAAACUGUUCCUUAAUAAAAUUACAAAUUUUCUCUUCCUAGAGCCAUAAAAGAUUAAUUCAAAACUCUAUAAAAAUGGGCC